CACGACGUUGUAAAACGACGUUAUGCAUGAACGUAAUGCUCACAACUUCCCUCUAGACCUAGCUUCUGUCGAAGUUCCAUCCACAAAUGGAUAAUACUUCGGUUUUAGUGUAUACGAUACAUUGAAUAGUCAAUACCAAACUUCUUGAUAGAAGUUUGGUAUUGAUACGUUUGAUUCACUAGUGUUUUAUUCACAUCAGAAUUUUUCAUUUUCAUUUCUUUUAUUCAAUCUAAUAAAGCGCUUGUAUACUAUGUUAUUCAAAACCAUUUUUUUUUAGUAAAGGGAUUGAUUGGUAUUUUAUAUACCAUUUUUGAGAGAAAGAAGGGGCGGAUGUAGCCAAGUGGCUCAAGGCAGUGGAUUGUGAAUCCACCAUGCGCGCCUGUGUG
rnacentral:misc_RNA from 1 species